UCCCUCUCAGGAUAGCAAUUGGAGAGUUUCCAGCACUCUACCAGUCUCUGCUAUGGGAGGGAGAGUCAAGCAGAGGCAUACCCAUUCCAUUCCGAGCUUGGGCAGUGGUUAGUAAGUUGAAGGUAAUCUGCCUCAAGU